rnacentral:lncRNA from 1 species
UCGAUCUCUGCAUCUUCUCUAAAGAUCCGUGAAGAUUGUUACCGAUCGCUAAGCGUCUCAUCUCGUAUUGUUCUUUCUUUGUCGGCUCUAUUAAUCUCCGGAAAGAUCGAAGAUCUCAUACGAAGAUCACAUACGAAGAGAGAUCAAGACAUUAGCCAAGAAAACCUAAUUGAAGGUGAAAUAUGAGAUUUGAAUUUACAGAAACUAGGGUUUCGGUCUGAGGCCGAAAAGGGGUUGUU